GGUUUAAGAUGAACGUUGUUUAU
rnacentral:snRNA from 1 species